rnacentral:rRNA from 1 species
UUUAUGGAGAGUUUGAUCCUGGCUCAGGAUGAACGCUGGCGGCGUGCCUAAUACAUGCAAGUCGAGCGAACGGACGAGAAGCUUGCUUCUCUGAUGUUAGCGGCGGACGGGUGAGUAACACGUGGAUAACCUACCUAUAAGACUGGGAUAACUUCGGGAAACCGUAGCUAAUACCGGAUAAUAUUUUGAACCGCAUGGUUCAAAAGUGAAAGACGGUCUUGCUGUCACUUAUAGAUGGAUCCGCGCUGCAUUAGCUAGUUGGUAAGGUAACGGCUUACCAAGGCAACGAUGCAUAGCCGACCUGAGAGGGUGAUCGGCCACACUGGAACUGAGACACGGUCCAGACUCCUACGGGAGGCAGCAGUAGGGAAUCUUCCGCAAUGGGCGAAAGCCUGACGGAGCAACGCCGCGUGAGUGAUGAAGGUCUUCGGAUCGUAAAACUCUGUUAUUAGGGAAGAACAUAUGUGUAAGUAACUGUGCACAUCUUGACGGUACCUAAUCAGAAAGCCACGGCUAACU